GUCUCUGGCCACACCGCCCAGAACAAGCCCGAUCCCGUCUGAUCUCGGAAGCUAAGCAGGGUCUCGGAAGCUAAGCAGGGUCGGGCCUGGUUAGUACUUGGAUGGGAGACCACCUAGGAAGACCAGGUGCUGUAGGCA
rnacentral:rRNA from 1 species